rnacentral:rRNA from 1 species
UACGUAGGGGGCGAGCGUUGUCCGAAGUUACUGGGCGUAAAGAGCGCGUAGGCGGGUCUUUAAGUGAGGGGUGAAAGGUUCGGGCUCAACCCGGACACUGCCUUUCAUACUGGAGACCUUGAGUGCGGGAGGGGCGAGUGGAAUGGUCGGCGUAGCGGUGAAAUGCGUAGAUAUCGAUCGGAACACCCAUGGCGAAGGCAGCUCGCUGGCCUGCAACUGACGCUGAGGCGCGAAAGCGUGGGGAGCAAACAGG